UACAUCAGUAUACAUGCAUGUGAAAACGAUUGCAUUCUCUAUUGGAAGGACCAUAAGGAUUCUAAUUCAUGUCCAAAGUGUAAGGUAUCACGGUGGAAAUCAGUUAGGAACAGUCUUGAUGGGAAGCAUGUUUAUAGGGUCCCUAAAAAGGUUCUUUGCUACUUUCCAAUAAAGAAGAGUCUCCAAAGGUAGUUUCUAUCAUCUAAAACAGCAACUCUUACAAGAUGGCAUGAUGAGGAGCGAACAAGAGAUGAUUUUCUUAGGCAUCCUGCAGAUUCUCCUCUUUGGAAAGACUUUGAUGAUAAAUAUCCAGAGUUUGCUAAGGACAGCCGCAAUGUCCGUCUAGCAUUUUCCACAGAUGGAUUUAAUCCAUAUAGGAGCCAAAAUGUUAGUUAUAGCAUUUGGCCCGGUUUUGGCACGUCAAAAGGCUGAAAGUGAUAUUCUAGUGCUACAACAACGUAUCUUGGAAAUGCAACAAAGGGAGGAGCAAAGGAUGGUAGAAUUUCCAAAUGUCGAAACAUCACAGCAUGGUUCUAACUCAAGACAGCAAAUGAGACCAAGAUCUGAGGAAAUUGGUGAGGCCAAUCAGCAUGUGCAAGGUGAAAAACCUGAUGACUACGCAGAGGAUGGCAAUUGUGACAACGAACUUGAAGAUGGGGCCAAUCAGCAAGCUACAGCCUUGCCUGCCAUGAACAUUACAACAUCACCAAAUGUCCAGCACUUCUCAAAAGAUGCACUUGCUGGAAGUGAGGUCAUUUUAUUUGCCAUGUCAAGUGAUGAAAAGGUGGCUAAGGCAACUGUUGUUUCAGUUAAUCCAAACAAUAAGCUAGCGGGUGAGGCUCUAACGAAAUUUUGUGAAGUUAUUGUGAAUGUUGUCCUCAAGCGUGAACAUUAGUGCCACACCCUUAUGAUGAGAUCAAAACUCUAGGCGAUGCUGUAAAGAUGCUGGUUGCUUGGCCAUUUAACUGACUAAAGGUCUGCAGUCAGCAACCAAGAUCUUCUCAUGGUGUUGGUAGUGGUUCUCCGAGAUCUUCUCAAGGUGCUGCUCGAUCAUCUCAAAUAUGCUAGGUGGUGCUAGCUUGUUGGCAGGAAGGGUGUUGGGAGCAAAUUUGGUGCAGGAUCUUGUCAUGGGGUUGUUGGUAGCGUCUUGUUGAUGUGAAGACAUUGGUGAACUAGAUGCUAAUUGAAUGCUUUUGGACUACAAUCUGGUAGUUUUAGUUUCUAUACUUGAACCUGAUGGUGAUAUCUUUUGAUCAAUGUUGGAUUACUUUUGGAUGAUGGCUUUUGCUCAAUAGGAAACCUUGCUAGCUGUACAAGCUAAUGACUUUUGUAUUCAGCUAUUAUAUAUCCUUGUAUGUUGGCUUGAUGGCAACAAGCUUAAGCUUGUAGCAUGAUUAUAUAUGUACCCAUUUGAUAUAGAUGAUUAAU